CCUACGGGAGGCAGCAGUAGGGAAUUUUCGUCAAUGGGCGCAAGCCUGAACGAGCAAUGCCGCGUGAACGAGGAAGGUCUUCGGAUCGUAAAGUUCUGUUGAAGGGGAAAAAGAGAGGCGAGAGGAAAUGCUUUCUGAGUGAUAUUACCCUUCGAGGAAGUCACGGCUAACUACGUGCAAGCAGCCGCGGUAAUACGUAGUUGGCGAGCGUUAUCCGGAAUGAUUGGGCGUAAAGGGUGCGUAGGCGGCCUGCUAAGUCUGGAGUGAAAGGUACCGGCUCAACCGGUACAGGCUCUGGAAACUGGCGGGCUAGAGAGCAGUAGAGGGCGGUGGAACUCCAUGUGUAGCGGUAAAAUGCGUAGAUAUAUGGAAGAACAUCAGUGGCGAAGGCGGCCGCCUGGCCUGUUAACUGACGCUGAGGCACGAAAGCGUGGGGAGCAAAUAGGAUUAGAUACCCCUGUAGUC
rnacentral:rRNA from 1 species